rnacentral:tRNA from 1 species
GGCGAGGUGACCGAGUGGUCUAAGGCGCUGGUUUUAGGCACCAGUCUCUUCGGAGGCGUGGGUUCGAAUCCAAGUCUCGUCA